rnacentral:rRNA from 1 species
GACGAACCGUGCGAACGUUGUUCGGAAUCACUGGGCUUAAAGGGCGCGUAGGCGGGUGGUCAAGUCGGUGGUGAAAUCCUUCAGCUUAACUGGAGAAUGGCCGCCGAUACUGGCAACCUCGAGGGAGGUAGGGGCAUGUGGAACUUCCGGUGGGGCGGUGAAAUGCGUAGAUAUCGGAAGGAACGCCGGUGGCGAAAGCGACGUGCUGGACCUCUUCUGACGCUGAGGCGCGAAAGCCAGGGGAGCAAACGGG